rnacentral:snoRNA from 2 species
CGCGCAGUUCAAGAAGCCGGCGCAUGCGUGAGACCGUGUGCUGCACCGGUGCCGAGGCUGCGCAAGAGCC